AUUGAACGCUGGCGGCAUGCCUUACACAUGCAAGUCGAACGGUAACGGGCCUUCGGGUGCCGGCGCGUGGCGAACGGGUGAGUAAUACAUCGGAACGUGCCCGACCGUGGGGGAUAACGAGGCGAAAGCUUUGCUAAUACCGCAUACGAUCUACGGAUGAAAGCAGGGGACCGCAAGGCCUUGCGCGGGCGGAGCGGCCGAUGGCAGAUGAGGUAGAUGGUGGGAUAAAAGCUUACCAAGCCGACGAUCUGUAGCUGGUCUGAGAGGAUGAUCAGCCACACUGGGACUGAGACACGGCCCAGACGCCUGCGGGAGGGAGCAGUGGGGAAUUGUGGACAAUGGGCGCAAGCCUGAUCCAGCCAUGCCGCGUGCAGGAUGAAGGCCUUCGGGUUGUAAACUGCUUUUGUACGGAACGAAAAGCCUUCUUUUAAUACAGGAGGGUCAUGACGGUACCGUAAGAAUAAGCACCGGCUAACUACGUG
rnacentral:rRNA from 1 species